AUGAACGCUAGCUACAGGCUUAACACAUGCAAGUCGAGGGGCAGCAUGGUCUUAGCUUGCUAAGGCCGAUGGCGACCGGCGCACGGGUGAGUAACACGUAUCCAACCUGCCGUCUACUCUUGGACAGCCUUCUGAAAGGAAGAUUAAUACAAGAUGGCAUCAUGAGUCCGCAUGUUCACAUGAUUAAAGGUAUUCCGGUAGACGAUGGGGAUGCGUUCCAUUAGAUAGUAGGCGGGGUAACGGCCCACCUAGUCUUCGAUGGAUAGGGGUUCUGAGAGGAAGGUCCCCCACAUUGGAACUGAGACACGGUCCAAACUCCUACGGGAGGCAGCAGUGAGGAAUAUUGGUCGAUGGGCGAGAGCCUGAACCAGCCAAGUAGCGUGAAGGAUGACUGCCCUAUGGGUUGUAAACUUCUUUUAUAAAGGAAUAAAGUCGGGUAUGCAUACCCGUUUGCAUGUACUUUAUGAAUAAGGAUCGGCUAACUCCGUGCCAGCAGCCGCGGUAAUACGGAGGAUCCGAGCGUUAUCCGGAUUUAUUGGGUUUAAAGGGAGCGUAGAUGGAUGUUUAAGUCAGUUGUGAAAGUUUGCGGCUCAACCGUAAAAUUGCAGUUGAUACUGGAUAUCUUGAGUGCAGUUGAGGCAGGCGGAAUUCGUGGUGUAGCGGUGAAAUGCUUAGAUAUCACGAAGAACUCCGAUUGCGAAGGCAGCCUGCUAAGCUGCAACUGACAUUGAGGCUCGAAAGUGUGGGUAUCAAACAGGAUUAGAUACCCUGGUAGUCCACACGGUAAACGAUGAAUACUCGCUGUUUGCGAUAUACAGCAAGCGGCCAAGCGAAAGCGUUAAGUAUUCCACCUGGGGAGUACGCCGGCAACGGUGAAACUCAAAGGAAUUGACGGGGGCCCGCACAAGCGGAGGAACAUGUGGUUUAAUUCGAUGAUACGCGAGGAACCUUACCCGGGCUUAAAUUGCAGAUGAAUUACGGUGAAAGCCGUAAGCCGCAAGGCAUCUGUGAAGGUGCUGCAUGGUUGUCGUCAGCUCGUGCCGUGAGGUGUCGGCUUAAGUGCCAUAACGAGCGCAACCCUUAUCUUUAGUUACUAACAGGUUAUGCUGAGGACUCUAGAGAGACUGCCGUCGUAAGAUGUGAGGAAGGUGGGGAUGACGUCAAAUCAGCACGGCCCUUACGUCCGGGGCUACACACGUGUUACAAUGGGGGGUACAGAGGGCCGCUACCACGCGAGUGGAUGCCAAUCCCCAAAACCUCUCUCAGUUCGGACUGGAGUCUGCAACCCGACUCCACGAAGCUGGAUUCGCUAGUAAUCGCGCAUCAGCCACGGCGCGGUGAAUACGUUCCCGGGCCUUGUACACACCGCCCGUCAAGCCAUGGGAGCCGGGGGUACCUGAAGUGCGUAACCGCGAGGAGCGCCCUAGGGUAAAACUGGUGACUGGGGCU
rnacentral:rRNA from 1 species